rnacentral:rRNA from 1 species
GACGAACGCUGGCGGCGUGCUUAACACAUGCAAGUCGAACGGAAAGUCCCUGCUUUUGUGGGGUGCUCGGGUUGCGAACGGGUGAGUAACACGUGAGUAACCUGCCCUUGACUUUAGGAUAACUUCAUGAAACUGGGUCUAAUCCCGGAUAGGAGCUCCUGCUGCAUGGUGGGCGUUGGUAAGUUUCGGCGGUUGGUAAUUGACUCGCGGCUUAUCAGCUUGUUGGUGGGGUAGUGUCUUACCAAGGCUUUGACGGGUAGCCGUCCUGGGCGGGUGAGAGGCCACACUAGGCCUGAGCUACGACACAGACUCCACCGGGAGGCAGGGGUGGGGAAUAUAGUACAAGGGGAGGAAGCCUGAUGCAGUAAAGCAGCGUCGGGGAUGACGGCAUUCGGGUUGUGAAGCGAUUUCGCCUGUGACGAAGCGUGAGUGACGGUAAUGGGUAAAGAAGCACCGGCUAACUACGUG